rnacentral:lncRNA from 1 species
GUUCCAAUGAGAAUGAAGGCUGAGGUGUGCGCCUUUUUUUUUUUUCCUUCUUAGUCGUGUGUACAUCAUUGGGAAUGGAGGGAAAUAAAUGACUGGAUGGUCGCUGCUUUUUAAGUUUCAAAUUGACAUUCCAGACAAGCGGUGCCUGAGCCCGUGCCUGUCUUCAGAUCUUCACAGCACAGUUCCUGGGAAGGUGGAGCCACCAGCCUCUCCCUGACAAGCAAAGUGGAUCAGCAAAGGCUGCAGUCACCAGCAUCUUUUCCAACCUUAAUGAACUGUAUCCUCAAAAGAACACUAUCAGACUGGCUCUGCCGACUUCCAGUUCUGGAACAAGAUGGUUAAACUCAUUUUUCCCUGCUCUGCUCCUCUAAAUACAACUAAGUACCUUGGAAACUAUUCAGCAGACAAUGAUAAAGGGCUCUGAAAGCUAGAAGAAAAGGUGUACUUGCAAGAAACCUCAGGACUUGAGUAACAGCAACAUGGCAGGCCAGAAAGCAGACCCAGGGAGGAUAGCACAUGUCUUCGGCUACACUGGUGAAGGCAUCGUGCCUGCUCCACAGCACAUUUUUAUUCAAGGUUCUUCUGAGCUAUGAAGGGGCCCAGAUUUAAGGGCUAUUUUUGACACCCUAAAUGUGCUGAGACAAGUCAUUAAGGUGGUCCUGCCAGGACACAGCCAUCUAAAGCAGCAAUCUGCUUCUUGCCAGAAAAUCUCGUGCCUCUGCAGAGCCUUUUCCAGAAUGAACCACACCAUGCUGAGGAAAGGAGAAAGAGACUACCUACUGCAUUUCUGUCACUCGCUGAAAAGGACACUCUGUCAGAAAAUCUUCUAGCAAACUUCAAAGGGCAAAAUCACCCCUUGUUACUGAUAAAGCCCAGAGAGCUUCAGCAGCUAACAUUCCCUGGACAGGGCACAGCAAGGAUUUGAACCUAGGUCAGUCUGGCCAGAACACCCACAAGCUUUCCUUAACUCAGUGUGCUAUCUCCCCACGACUAGGUCACUACUGCUUUAUAAUCACCUUUGUAGCCACCAGUGGAUUUUGCUCAUCAGUAUUUUUCAGGCAAUUGAUACUUUAGAUAUUCAGCUGCAAGACGUAUGCAGUUUUCAUUGACAUCUUUUGGAGAAACUGACAAACCUGGACUUGACUUAAUGCCUUUGGAACCUUCCAAGAUGUUAUAUAACUCUAGAUAGAAGGCUGGGCCUCCAUGAUGUCAGGAAUGUUGCAUUCUUAUUUCCCCAUAGAUAAACCCAUUUGUCCACAAAGUCAAGGAGUCAGGCAGAGGCCCUUGCCAUGGGGCUUUUUAGGAUAAAGCAACAAGCCUGGACUUUGCUCUACAACAGGGUUUUGCAUAGGGAGUGGUAUGACCAGAUCCCUCAAGAAAGAAAGCUUAGAGACCAGGCCAGAGUCCACUGCAGUAGCCCAGUCAAGAGAGGAUGGUGACUUGGACUUGUAGUAGAGCCAGUUAGAAUGAAAGAAAUUGACACAUUCAGAAAUGGUUUUAGAGAUAGAGUCAAACUGGACCUGAUAAAGAACUAGAGAAGCGGAGUGAGGAUAAAGAGAAGAGCCAUGACUGACUCGGAAGAUUUUGUCUUGAAAAACUUGAGAACUCAAGACAGAGUGAAAUAAAAUCACAUGUGGGAAAAAUCUCCUGCUUUGUUUUGGACUACUUUGAAGUGAAAUGCCUGUUAAGCCUAAGUGGGGUAGGUCAUGGCGUACAUGACUGUGGGCUCAGGAUGGAUACAGGCAUUCAGGAGUUGUGAGCAAAUAGAACUUAAAGCCAUGAGAGAAGAAGGGAUCACCAAGAGAGACAGUGUGGCAUAGAGAAGAAAAGGGGUGGAAGACGAUCCCUGGGCAGAAAAGUCCUUAGAGCAGAGGCAACAGGCAUGACCAAGAAGACUAAGAAAGAACAUUCAGUACAGCAGGAGGAGAGCAAAAAAUGUGUGGUAUUCUAGAAGCAAAGAGAAUAAAGGGCUUCAGGAAGGAGCAGUCAAGUGUGUCAAAUAAGAUAAAGACAGACAAGUCCCCUGGAUUGGGUAGGAAUAAAAUAACAACAGACUGCCAUACAAAUGGUUCUAUCUACACCAUCUAAAAGAAUAUAGUUUAUUCUCCAUACAUUUAAGAAACACCUGCCAUAUGCCAGGUAUCCUUUCAAGCACUGAAAUGCAGAUUCAUAAAACAUGGUCUCUGCUCUCAAGGAGCUCACAGUGGUAAGGAGGAAACAGGCAAUAGCGAGUGUUCUCAUUGCAUUCGUGACCCCAUUGAUCUUGCAACAGCCCCAUGCAUCAGUUAUUGCCAUUAUACCAUUUUACCGAUAAGGAAACUGUGGCAGGGAGGGGUCAAGCACCUUGGGUAUUUGACAGCAAAACCAAGGCUUGGUGGUAUCAUAAAACUUCCAAGUAGUAAUUCACAAAGGUGACUGGGAAAUGGAAGUGACCAGAAAUCUUUGCACUAUGAGGACAAGUUCAUGACCCUGAUACAUUCUUGUCCAGGUAGUAUAGCUCCAGACCAAAUGUCUGCGGCCACCCACCCAAAAACUUGUUGGAUAAAAAUGACUACACCUAUAGUCAAAUGAUUUUUGACAAAGGUGCCAAACAGUUAGAUAGGAAAAAGAAAGUUAUUUUCAAUAAAUGUUGCUGGAGCAACCAGAUAUCCAUAUGGAAAAAAAAUCUUGACCACCUACCUCACACCAAACACUAAUAUUAACUUGAGAUGGAUCAUAAACCUAAGUCUGAAAACUAAUAGUAAAGUUCUUGAGAAGAGAACAUGGGAGAAUGUCUUCAUGAUGUUCAGGUAGGCAAAGAUAUUUUAAGACACAAAAAAGCAAUAAGCAUAAAAUUUGUAAAGAGGUGACUGGGGCUUUAUCAAAAUUAAAAUUUAUGUGUAUUAAAAGACAUCAUGAAUAAAGGGAAAAGGGCAGCCACAGACUGGGAGAAACUCUUUACUAUACAUAUACCUAACUGAGGCUCAUAUCCAGAUUAUAUGAAGAACUCCUUCAUACUGAUACCUAGGGUCUUGAUUGCAUGCCCCGAAAUCAGUUGAUUCUUCCCUUUUGAAAUGCAUUCCCACAAGGAUCCAGCCUUUGGGAAGCCAUGCAAGUAGAGGCAGAAGUUGUUUCAGCUUCGGAAAGGGCCACUCUGCUGAGGAGUGUCCUUGACCGGCAGAGAGAAGAUGUUCCUGCAGCCAUGCUGAUUCCAGGGGGAUAUAGAAUUUGGGGCCUGGGAAUGUUUAAAAAUGAAAGCCAGUUAAUAGUUUUAUUUUUCUUUUAACAUGACAGACAGGAGAACAACCAGCAGGACUCCAGGCUUACCCUGACAUUUUUGUCAAGUAUAUGCGGGUUCUCCAGAGAGCCAGAAUCAAAAGAUGUGUGUAUAUACAGCCAUGUGUUGCAUAACAACAAAGAUACAUUCUGUGAAAUGUGUCCUUAGGCAAUUUCAUCGUUGUGCAAACAUCAUAGGGUGUAUUUGCACACACCUAGAUGGCAUAGCCUACCACACACCUGGACUAUGUGGUAUAGCUUGUCACUCCUAGGCUUUGUACAGCAUGCUACUAUACUGAAUACUGUAGGCAAUUAUAACACAAUGGUAGGUAUAUAUGUCUAUGUAGACAUAUCUAACAUAGAAAAGGUACAGUAACAAUACAGUAUAAAAAGUGAAAAUUGCACACUUAUAUAGGGCACUUCCAAUCAAUGGAGCUUGUAGAACUGGAAGUUGCUCUGGGCGAGUCCGUGAGCAACUAAGACAUUACACUGUGCG